ensembl:snoRNA
AUCCUUUUGUGGUUCAAAAGCAUGAUGAUUGGGUGUUCACAGGCAUGUGUGAGACGUGCCACCCUCUGAACCUCCUUAUGACCCGGUACAUUACCUCUCUGACC